CUUGAUCAAGAUUUUUUCUCGCAAUAAUUGAUGCUUCAAUUUCUACCUUAAAGGACUUGGCAGCGAUGAUUUCUUUCGAGCCGCCAUCACUCUUUUCUUGUGAUUUUGCAAUGAAAUGAUCGAAUUCUGAAAAUAGCAUCGUACUUUCAAGAUCAAUUUGAGUGUUAUCUUUGUGAGCCAUUGUUCUUGCUUUGGGAGUGAGAGAGAGGGCUGAAAGAGUAUUCUAUGAGAGAGAAGCACCAAAUUUGUGGCUUACAAAAGCGGUUAUUUCUGUUAAGAAGUUGUAGAUUAUGGACAUAUAUUCUCCUUAUGCUUGUAUGUGGAUAAAUAUUUUACAUUUGAUGCAGGAAAAAUGCCUCAAUCUUGUGGACAACAGAUCAUCAAUGAAGCUGAAGAACAUAAAUAAGCAUUUUAUGUGAAGAGGCAACUCAAUUGUGAAACCAACAAAGCUCAUAACAGAGAAGUUUUAUUAUGGAAGUGGAAUGGAUGUGUUUCUGCAGCUAUACUAUGAAACCAAGAAAAUUUCCAUAAAGGAGCUGGCAAUCAUCACUGAGAGCCAUUGCGGAAGCAAUUCCUCGAGAGGUACAAAAUAUUGAAAGAAGACAGGGAAGGAAAAUGCUGAAAAGGAACUGUAUAUUUGGGUCAGCGUCGAAAUCCUCGGAAACCCGCUGAUCUUUUGAGGAUCGGAAGACUUCUCUUGAAGUUAAAUCACAGCAUUCCACCUCGCAUGCUGGUGAUGCUCAGUAGAAAACGUUAAAUAAAAGAGGGUGGACUGCAUAACUUGGGUACUGUUAUGUUUUUACAGUUGAAAUCGCGUUUUGUGAUUUGUAAAUUUUGUUUUUUUCUUGUCUAAUGAAGAAUGAACUAGGUUAGUUCUC